GUCCUCCCGGUGCCGGGAGACAUGGGCGCAGCCCGCCGCGGGGUCUCUUUACGCGCCGCGCGCCGGCGACGCUUCCCGAAAGACGGGGUGAAACGUUCCGAGUGAGGGGUGGAGCUGCGCUGAGGGCCGGAGAGGGCUGCUGAUGGUGCUGCUGAUGGUGCCAUGUGGGCGGGCACAGUGGCGUCCGUCUCCAUGGCAGACUUCGGCCUUUGGAGGGAAAUGUGCUCACCCUCUCGGAUGGAGGACGUCUGUCUGGGACUUUGGUGUCUUCAGCGUUUAACUUAGUGUUCUAAGUCGAGUUAACGUGUAGUUAGUGCAGAAAGUGUUUACUUCCGACUUUAUUUUGGUAAUGAAUACUAAUUGUUUAUGGAUUUCCCUUCCUUUUUCUCUCUCUCUCUGCGUCUUCAACGUCACGCCACCUUCAACAGCGUGACGCUUUUUAAUGUGGGAUGAUAUCGGCUGUUUCCUUUUGCCUGAAGCUGAAUGAACGAUGGCCUUUGUGUUUGUACGAAGAGUGAAAAAUGUGUCCUUCCGAAAAUAGACACUUUGAAUCUCAUAAAUGAUCGGUCGGGAUGCGACCUGUUCUUUCUCGUCGGACCUUUUCGUCUUUGCCAGACGUUCCCUGUGUUGCUUUAUUAAUUAACCGGAUUCUGCCAGUUGAAGAUUUAACCUGGCCAAUGGAACCGAUCUUGAUGAGCCUCCUCCUUCUUCACCUCCUCUUCACUCGCAGCCGCACGCAUGCAAAAGAAACAGAUGGUAAACAGGUUUGAAUCACAGAUUCAAAGGGAAUCAACCGGCACCGUGGCCGAUUCUGAGCAGCAGGAACUAUAUAGUCGUUUUUUUGAAGAAGGAAAGCCUGAAGUGUGUAUAUUGUUUGAGUGGAGUUUCUUAUAUUGAGGAUAUAUUAUAUUGGUAUAUAUUUUCCCGUUCAUAUUGACGUCAUGUUUGCAGCAGCUGAUUAGGCCCCAGUGCACAGUUUUCCGAAAAGAACUUAAGAUCUCCUGUCAUUCGCGUUAGGAAAUCGAAAUCGACGUGUCUGCAGCUCGAUUGCGGCUUAGAAAUGUACGUCACCGAAGGAACGCCGCUGCAGACAUUAAGUUUGAUUACUUUUUAGUUCAACUAAAAGUAACCGAGAAAGUGGCGGCCAUUUUGCUUGGCUUCCUGGGGGGGUUUCCCUUUUGUUUUGGGCCAAACAAACGCACACAAACACACUUCAGUUUGGUGGGGAUGUUUUUAUGGAGCUUCUGGUCACAUGGAGCUGCAAUGUAAUGUUCAUUGCAUUUGCUGUUGCUGCUUUUUUUCUUUUUGGUCACAAUUCAUCGGGCCUUUUUUUUUUUCACGGCUCGUGAGAAUUAUGAUUUAUUGCUUUGUUUUUUUGCUUUCGGUCAUCCGUUGUUUUUAACAAACUUUCUAAAGACAAAACUGACAAGUUAACGGUAUUUUUAGUCCCACGUUUACUCACCUUAUUACAAGGAGACACUGUAACUUGCAGUUUUUAAUAAUAAAACUACUGUACUUGAGUAUUCCCACCUUACACAGCGUUGGACUUUACUGCAUUACGUUUACGACGGGAAAACUGUUUUACUCCGACACUUACGUGAGUUUUAUAUUGACACCAUAACAGUUCAAAUGUAUUAUGAAACAUCGCUCGUACUCUUCAAUCAUCCAUCGUCAAACGGCCCAUCCUGCACACUGGGGGACGGGAGUCGAUCCCAGCCAGCUUCCAGAUCUUCAAUUAUAAAUCUUAAAAAUGAAUAAAACACUGCAAUCUUGUGGUGAGAAAAUGAACUUUA